AGAAUUCGCCCUUCGGUUGAUCCUGCCGGAGGCCGCUGCUUUCCGGCUGGGGCUAAGCCAUGCGAGUCAGGGGGCGUGGCUCUUGGGAGUCCACGCACCGGCAGACGGCUCAGUAACACGUGGACAACCUACCCUCGGGAGGGGGAUAACCCCGGGAAAACUGGGGCUAAACCCCCAUAGGGGAUAGGUGCUGGAAUGCCCUAUCCCCGAAAGUGUGCGGUUGCCGUAAGGCGCCGCACAGCCCGAGGAUGGGUCUGCGGCGGAUUAGGUAGUUGGCGGGGUAACGGCCCGCCAAGCCGAAGAUCCGUACGGGCCAUGAGAGUGGGAGCCCGGAGAUGGCCCCUGAGACACGGGGCCAGGCCCUACGGGGCGCAGCAGGCGCGAAACCUCCGCAAUGCGGGAAACCGCGACGGGGUCAGCCGGAGUGCCCGCGCAUCGCGCGGGCUGUCGGGGAGCCUAAACAGCUCCCCAUAGCAAGAGCCGGGCAAGGCCGGUGGCAGCCGCCGCGGUAAUACCGGCGGCCCGAGUGGCGGCCACUAUUAUUGGGCCUAAAGCGUCCGUAGCCGGGCUGGUAAGUCCCCCGGGAAAUCUGGCGGCUUAACCGUCAGACUGCCGGGGGAUACUGCCAGCCUAGGGACCGGGAGAGGCCGGGGGUAUUCCCGGGGUAGGGGUGAAAUCCUGUAAUCCCGGGAGGACCACCUGUGGCGAAGGCGCCCGGCUGGAACGGGUCCGACGGUGAGGGACGAAGGCCAGGGGAGCGAACCGGAUUAGAUACCCGGGUAGUCCUGGCUGUAAACGAUGCGGGCUAGGUGUCGGGCGAGCCACGAGCUCGCCCGGUGCCGGAGGGAAGCCGUUAAGCCCGCCGCCUGGGGAGUACGGCCGCAAGGCUGAAACUUAAAGGAAUUGGCGGGGGAGCAC
rnacentral:rRNA from 1 species